GACGAACGCUGGCGGCGUGCUUAACACAUGCAAGUCGAACGGAAAGGCCCUGCUUUUGUGGGGUGCUCGAGUGGCGAACGGGUGAGUAACACGUGAGUAACCUGCCCUUGACUUUGGGAUAACUUCAGGAAACUGGGGCUAAUACCGGAUAUGAGCUCCUGCUGCAUGGUGGGGGUUGGAAAGUUUCGGCGGUUGGUGAUGGACUCGCGGCUUAUCAGCUUGUUGGUGGGGUAGUGGCUUACCAAGGCUUUGACGGGUAGCCGGCCUGAGAGGGUGACCGGCCACAUUGGGACUGAGAUACGGCCCAGACUCCUACGGGAGGCAGCAGUGGGGAAUAUUGCACAAUGGGCGGAAGCCUGAUGCAGCAACGCCGCGUGCGGGAUGACGGCCUUCGGGUUGUAAACCGCUUUCGCCUGUGACGAAGCGUGAGUGACGGUAAUGGGUAAAGAAGCACCGGCUAACUACGUG
rnacentral:rRNA from 1 species